rnacentral:rRNA from 1 species
AACAGGAUUAGAUACCCUGGUAGUCCACGCCGUAAACGAUGAGUGCUAAGUGUUGGAGGGUUUCCGCCCUUCAGUGCUGCAGCAAACGCAUUAAGCACUCCGCCUGGGGAGUACGACCGCAAGGUUGAAACUCAAAGGAAUUGACGGGGGCCCGCACAAGCGGUGGAGCAUGUGGUUUAAUUCGAAGCAACGCGAAGAACCUUACCAGGUCUUGACAUCCUUUGACCACUCUAGAGAUAGAGCUUUCCCUUCGGGGACAAAGUGACAGGUGGUGCAUGGUUGUCGUCAGCUCGUGUCGUGAGAUGUUGGGUUAAGUCCCGCAACGAGCGCAACCCUUAUUGUUAGUUGCCAUCAUUUAGUUGGGCACUCUAGCGAGACUGCCGGUGACAAACCGGAGGAAGGUGGGGAUGACGUCAAAUCAUCAUGCCCCUUAUGACCUGGGCUACACACGUGCUACAAUGGGAAGUACAACGAGUCGCUAGACCGCGAGGUCAUGCAAAUCUCUUAAAGCUUCUCCCAGUUCGGAUUGCAGGCUGCAACUCGCCUGCAUGAAGCCGGAAUCGCUAGUAAUCGCGGAUCAGCACGCCGCGGUGAAUACGUUCCCGGGCCUUGUACACACCGCCCGUCACACCACGAGAGUUUGUAACACCCGAAGUCGGUGAGGUAACCUUUUUGGAGCCAGCCGCCUAAGGUGGGAUAGAUGAUUGGGGUGAAGUCGUAACAAGGUAACC